GUACGCGAGAAACUCGGAGGGAUCAUUACUGAGUUUACGCUCUACAAGCCUUUGUGAACAUACCUAUAACUGUUGCUUCGGCGGGUAGGGUCUCCGCGACCCUCCCGGCCCUCCCGCCUCCGGGCGGGUCGGCGCCCGCCGGAGGAUAACCAAACUCUGAUUUAACGACGUUUCUUCUGAGUGGUACAAGCAAAUAAUCAAAACUUUUAACAACGGAUCUCUUGGUUCUGGCAUCGAUGAAGAACGCAGCGAAAUGCGAUAAGUAAUGUGAAUUGCAGAAUUCAGUGAAUCAUCGAAUCUUUGAACGCACAUUGCGCCCGCCAGCAUUCUGGCGGGCAUGCCUGUUCGAGCGUCAUUUCAACCCUCAAGCUCUGCUUGGUGUUGGGGCCCUACAGCUGAUGUAGGCCCUCAAAGGUAGUGGCGGACCCUCUCGGAGCCUCCUUUGCGUAGUAACUUUACGUCUCGCACUGGGAUCCGGAGGGACUCUUGCCGUAAAACCCCCAAUUUUCCAAAGGUGACCUCGGAUCAGGCAGGAAUGCCCGCAACAUGCGGU
rnacentral:rRNA from 1 species